UCUUCGAAUAAGGAAUACUUAGCCGAGUUUCUAAUUAGUGGAGCAAACUUUAUGUUUCAGAAACAGAAGUGUAUGGAAAAAAAAGUCCUGAAAUUACUGGUUUUUUAGACGAUUCAGUCGAAGAUCCAAACUUUGAAUUCGCCAAUUUCUGAAUUUGAACUGUUGGUUUCACGUUCAACAAUUACAGAAGAUAAUCCGAAGCCCCAGCAAACAGGAUACACUAGUUCAACACAAGAAGUAGAGGAAUCCCAAGCAUUACCUGAGAUUGAAAUGCUGUUUUCACGUUCAACAAUUGCAGAAGAUAAUCCUAAGUCCCAGCAAACUGGAUGUACUGAUGAUUCAAUGAUCAGCAUGAAAACUGGUCCAACAAAAGUGAUAGAAGAUGCCAAACACCUGGUAAAAUGAAUUUUAUAUUAAGGCUUAUAAAAUUUUAGCUCUUUUUGUUGUGUGAAGCCCACUCCUAACAGCCGAAAAUUCUCUCAAGAAUUAUCUACAGAAUUUAGGCAAGAAAACGGCAGAAAUCAUUUUGUAUGCAACUUAACCCAUUCAGUCCUAGUGGUUUCACUAUGAAACCACCUCUAAUAAUAUAUAUUCCAUGCGUCCCUAUGGUUACAUCUCAAAACAGCUGCAACAGUGGUAAGUCAAAGGCUUCCUCUCGGAUUGGGUUGCAAUAGUUCUGCAAACUGGCGCUGUACAGCGUGUAAAGUUGGUCUUUGGUGACAAAAAAAAACUGUUUUCUUGCCUUCCACAAGAAAUAAUAAUAUUACUUGUAUUAUUAGUUGAAUCCUGGUCGUUACAUGUAGAAAACACUAUUUAAAAAAAUUGCAAAUAGAUAUUCAAUGAAAUAUAUUGAAUUUCAUGUAUUCUCGACCUCAAAAUAUGAGUUUAUUUUGAAUGAGAUUUUUUAAUUUGGGCCUGAAAAGGGUUAACAUUGAAUUGUAUGUACUGAAAGUACAUAUGUAACUUCAUGUUGUAUGAGAACAUCUUCGGCUGUUGCAAACGGGCUUAAGAUUCUGAUUCAUAAAAAGUAUAAAAGUGACCUAAGAAAGAGGGUAGAGACCUUUCUAUUAUCCCUUAUCAACUCUAACUUUGCUAGUGAGUAUCUUGAAUAAAAAAAUAAUCAUGCAGGAAAAUUUGGUUGCAUUUUAUAUCAUUAUUUCUAAGAAACUGAUUUGUAAAAGCCUUUUAUCGUGUAAUAUCUGUAACGGUUUUAUUUCCGUAUUUAAAUAUAUCUUUUAAAUAACGAGACUGCUGGAUGUAUUAAUUUAAUUUAUUAUGGAACACAACUGGGUAACUUUAUUACAGGCAGGUUCAACGAUGACUGAACGUUGACUUCGAUACAGAACAAUCACAUACAUACAACAUGUGUAUAACAAGAAGUUUUAUACUAUAAUCAAAUGGCCUCAGCCUUAACAAUAUCCUUACAUCCCCCCUUUUCAGUUCAAAAAUAUUAAAUUCCUAAAAUUAACAACACAAAUUAAUAUCAACUACUAACAAUUGAAAAAAUUAACCAAAAUUUUACAAAUCAAAUAUCUAAACCUAAUUUGGAAAUCUAUCUGGUUUUCUCAACAAAUUUCUAUCCCUCAAACAAUAAGGUGAAACUUUAUUACAAUCAGUAUUUGCAUAAUUAUUACAGUCACUAUUGUUUUCAUCAGAGUCAGAAUCACUUGAAAUAUUUCGAUAUAUAAAGUGUUCCCUAUUCCUUCUGAAUAAUCUAUUAUUUUCAUCUGAAACCAAGAAAGACCUAGGUUCAUUACACUUAGAGACAAUUCUACCUUUAUUCCAUGAAUUAUUUUUUCUAAAAAAGAUAUUUUUAUUCUUCUUUUCCUUCAAAGGUCGACUGUUACGAUCAUAAUAAAAUUUUUGUUUAGUUUGACGGUUAAUGAUAUUUUGUCGAAAGUUUCUAGAAUUAAUCAAUUUUGGUUUAAGUAAGGAAUCUUUUGUUGGAAUUGUAUCCUUGAGACGUCUACUUAAAAACAACUGUGCAGGCGACAAACCAAGAUCGGGUAUAGGAGUGUUACGAUAUUUGAGCAAAUAUAAAUUAAUGUUACC